rnacentral:rRNA from 1 species
GACGAACGCUGGCGGCGUGCCUAAUACAUGCAAGUAGAACGCUGAAGAGAGGAGCUUGCUCUUCUUGGCUGAGUUGCGAACGGGUGAGUAACGCGUAGGUAACCUGCCUGGUAGCGGGGGAUAACUAUUGGAAACGGUAGCUAAUACCGCAUAAAAUGGAUUAUCGCAUGAUAAUCCAUUGAAAGGUGCAAAUGCAUCACUACCAGAUGGACCUGCGUUGUAUUAGCUAGUUGGUGGGGUAACGGCUCACCAAGGCGACGAUACAUAGCCGACCUGAGAGGGUGAUCGGCCACACUGGGACUGAGACACGGCCCAGACUCCUACGGGAGGCAGCAGUAGGGAAUCUUCGGCAAGGGACGGAAGUCUGACCGAGCAACGCCGCGUGAGUGAAGAAGGUUUUCGGAUCGUAAAGCUCUGUUGUAAGAGAAGAACGAGUGUGAGAGUGGAAAGUUCACACUGUGACGGUAUCUUACCAGAAAGGGACGGCUAACUACGUG